AGAGUUUGAUCAUGGCUCAGGAUGAACGCUAGCGGCAGGCUUAAUACAUGCAAGUCGUGGGGCAGCGCAGGUAGCAAUACUGGGCGGCGACCGGCAAACGGGUGCGGAACACGUACGCAACCUUCCUUUAAGUGGGGAAUAGCCCAGGGAAACUUGGAUUAAUACCCCGUAACACUGCGAUGUGGCAUCACAAUGCAGUUAAAGCUACGGCGCUUAAAGAUGGGCGUGCGGCUGAUUAGGUAGUUGGCGGAGUAACAGCCCACCAAGCCAACGAUCAGUAACUGGUGUGAGAGCACGACCAGUCACACGGGCACUGAGACACGGGCCCGACUCCUACGGGAGGCAGCAGUAAGGAAUAUUGGUCAAUGGACGCAAGUCUGAACCAGCCAUGCCGCGUGGAGGAUGAAGGCCCUCUGGGUUGUAAACUUCUUUUAUUUGGGAAGAAACCUAUCCUUUCUAGGGUAGUUGACGGUACCAGAUGAAUAAGCACCGGCUAACUCCGUGCCAGCAGCCGCGGUAAUACGGAGGGUGCAAGCGUUAUCCGGAUUCACUGGGUUUAAAGGGUGCGUAGGUGGGCAGGUAAGUCAGUGGUGAAAUCUCUGAGCUUAACUCAGAAACUGCCGUUGAUACUAUCUGUCUUGAAUGUAGUGGAGGUGAGCGGAAUAUGUCAUGUAGCGGUGAAAUGCUUAGAUAUGACAUAGAACACCAAUUGCGAAGGCAGCUCGCUACACUAUUAUUGACACUGAGGCACGAAAGCGUGGGGAUCAAGCAGGAUUAGAUACCCUAGUAGUCC
rnacentral:rRNA from 1 species